AAACUGGGUUUAAUACCGUAUACGCCCUUCGGGGGAAAGAAUUUCGGUGAGGGAUCGGCCCGCGUUAGAUUAGUUAGUUGGUGGGGUAAUGGCCUACCAAGACUACGAUCUAUAGCUGGUUUGAGAGGAUGAUCAGCAACACUGGGACUGAGACACGGCCCAGACUCCUACGGGAGGCAGCAGUGGGGAAUCUUAGACAAUGGGGGCAACCCUGAUCUAGCGAUGCCGCGUGAGUGAUGAAGGCCUUAGGGUCGUAAAGCUCUUUCGCCUGUGAUGAUAAUGACAGUAGCAGGUAAAGAAACCCCGGCUAACUCCGUGCCAGCAGCCGCGGUAAUACGGAGGGGGUUAGCGUUGUUCGGAAUUACUGGGCGUAAAGCGCACGUAGGCGGAUUAGUCAGUCAGAGGUGAAAUCCCAGGGCUCAACCCUGGAACUGCCUUUGAUACUGCUAU
rnacentral:rRNA from 1 species